rnacentral:rRNA from 1 species
AUACGUAGGGCGCGAGCGUUGUCCGGAAUUACUGGGUGUAAAGGGAGCGUAGGCGGGAGUGCAAGUCAGAUGUGAAAUACAUGGGCUCAACCCAUGGGCUGCAUUUGAAACUGCAUUUCUUGAGUGAAGUAGAGGUAAGCGGAAUUCCUGGUGUAGCGGUGAAAUGCGUAGAUAUCAGGAGGAACACCGGUGGCGAAGGCGGCUUACUGGGCUUUUACUGACGCUGAGGCUCGAAAGCGUGGGGAGCAAACAGGAUUAGAUACCCUGGUAGUCCACGCUGUAAACGAUGAUUACUAGGUGUGGGGGGAUUGACCCCUUCCGUGCCGCAGUUAACACAAUAAGUAAUCCACCUGGGGAGUACGGCCGCAAGGUUGAAACUCAAAUGAAUUGACGGGU